rnacentral:lncRNA from 1 species
AAGAAACGCCGCUAUCAAGGAAAAGCUCAACAGCGUGAAGGACACUUCCGGCGAAGUGAAGCAGCUGGAGGAGCAGGCUGCGGCUGUGAUGAAGGCGGUGAGGGCGGAGAUAUCGGCGGCCCUCAACCAGAUGAAGAAGGAGACGGCGGCGGAAGUAGAGAUGAAGCUGGCGGAGGGGAGGAAGAAGGUGGAAGCGGAGCUGCAAGAGGCUUUGGCCGUUUUGGAGAAGCAGAAGGAGGACACCAUCAAGGCUCUUGAUUCUCAGAUCGCUGCUCUGAGUCAGCAAAUUGUGAACAAGGUCCUUCCCCUCUGAUCUUUUUUUUUUUUUUUUC